AGCCUUUGUGUUGCCCGUUCACCUUUGCUCACUAGUGAACGCGGUGUCAAAAAAGGCAUAAAUUAAUGCUUUGCGGCCAUUUCUUACCCUGGAGCUCGGUGUCUUGGGUGUCGGAGCUGCAUAAGUAACACAA
ensembl:snoRNA Gm23639 small nucleolar RNA SNORA13